rnacentral:rRNA from 1 species
GAUGAACGCUAGCUACAGGCUUAACACAUGCAAGUCGAGGGGUAGCAGGGUAGCAAUACCGCUGACGACCGGCGCACGGGUGAGUAACACGUAUCCAACCUUCCCAUAACUCGGGGAUAGCCUUUCGAAAGAAAGAUUAAUACCCGAUAGUACUUAUAUAGGGCAUCCUACAUAAGUUAAAGAUUUAUUGGUUAUGGAUGGGGAUGCGUUCCAUUAGAUAGUUGGUGGGGUAACGGCUCACCAAGUCUUCGAUGGAUAGGGGUUCUGAGAGGAAGGUCCCCCACAUUGGUACUGAGACACGGACCAAACUCCUACGGGAGGCAGCAGUGAGGAAUAUUGGUCAAUGGGCGAGAGCCUGAACCAGCCAAGUAGCGUGAAGGAUGAAGGUCCUAUGGAUUGUAAACUUCUUUUAUAGUAGAAUAAAGUGAUCCACGUGUGGAUUUUUGUAUGUACUGUAUGAAUAAGGACCGGCUAAUUCCGUGCCAGCCGCCGCCGUAA